AAAAGUAAGCAAGGGCGCAUGGAGGAUGCCUUGGCUCUCAGAGGCGAAGAAGGACGUGAUAAGCUGCGAAAAGCUUCGGGGAUUCGCAAAUAGGAAUUGAUCCGAAGAUGUCCGAAUGGGGCAACCCGGCUGCAUGAAGUGCAGUCACUCAUCGUAAGAUGAGGGCAAACCCCGGGAACUGAAACAUCUAAGUACCGGGAGGAAGAGAAAACAAUAGUGAUUCCCUAAGUAGUGGCGAGCGAAAUGGGAAUAGCCCAAACCUGAGGCGUUACGGCGCCUUGGGGGUUGUAGGACUGCGCUGUGUUAGUUUAAAUCGAAUUUGAAUUACCUGGGAAGGUAAGCCGCAGAAGGUGAAAGCCCUGUAAGAGUAUUAUUUAAACGACUAGCAGUAUCCUGAGUAGGGCGGAACAGGAGAAAUUCCGUCUGAAUCUGCCGGCACCAUCCGGUAAGGCUAAAUACUACUGAGAGACCGAUAGUGAACAAGUACCGUGAGGGAAAGGUGAAAAGUACCGUGAAUAACGGGGUGAAAUAGAACCUGAAACCGUGCGCUUACAAGCGGUCAGAGCCCUUUAGUGGGGUGAUGGCGUGCCUUUUGCAUAAUGAGCCUACGAGUUACUCCUCACUGGCAAGGUUAAGGGUUUUUAAGCCCGGAUCCGGAGCGAAAGCGAGUCUUAACAGGGCGCUUAGUCAGUGGGGGUAGACGCGAAACCUUGUGAUCUACCCUUGUCCAGGAUGAAGUUGUGGUAACACACAAUGGAGGUCCGAACCAGUUAACGUUGAAAAGUUUUUGGAUGAGGUGAGGGUAGGGGUGAAAGGCCAAUCAAACUGGGAAAUAGCUCGUACUCCCCGAAAUGUUUUUAGGAACAGCGUGGGGUUUAUUCUAACGGAGGUAGAGCUACCGAUAGGACUAGGGGGAGUCACAUCCUACCAAAUCCUGACGAACUCCGAAUGCCGUUAGAUUUGCCCUGCAGUGAGGGUCAGGGUGCUAAGGUCCUGAUCCGAGAGGGAAAGAACCCAGACCUACAGCUAAGGUCCCUAAAUCUGUGUUAAGUUGAACUAAGGCGGUCCAGUUGCAGAGACAGCCAGGAUGUUGGCUUGGAAGCAGCCAUUCAUUUAAAGAGUGCGUAACAGCUCACUGGUCGAGCGACAGGGCAUCGAUAAUAAUCGGGCAUCAAACACAGUACCGAAGCUUAGGAUUGUACAGCAAUGUACACUGGUAGGGGAGCAUUCUAUUCAGCGACGAAGGUACCUGGUGAUGGGUAUUGGAGCGGAUAGAAAAGCAAAUGUAGGCAUAAGUAACGAUAAGGCAGGAGAGAAACCUGCCCACCGAAAGACUAAGGUUUCCGCGGCAAUGCUAAUCAGCCGCGGGUUAGUCGGGACCUAAGGCGAAGCCGGAGGGCGUAGUCGAUGGACAAUCAGUUAAUAUUCUGAUACUACCUUAUAUAGCGAUGGGGUGACGGAGUAGUGAAAGGCCCGCCCGGAGACGGAAUACCGGGUUAAAGGGAGUAGGUAUUGGUUUUGCAGGCAAAUCCGCAAGACUAGCUGAACCUGAUAGUACUGCAAUCCUACGGGAGCGCAGAUAGUGGCCCUAAUCAGACUUCCAAGAAAAACCUCUAGUAAUGUAUAAGGUACCCGUACCGUAAACCGACACAGGUAGUUGAGGAGAGAAUCCUAAGGUGCUCGAGUGAUUCAUGGCUAAGGAACUAGGCAAAAUUGUCCUGUAACUUCGGGAGAAGGGACGCUUCCCUUGCAGCAAUGUAAGGAAGCCGCAGUGAAAAGAUCCAGGCGACUGUUUAACAAAAACACAUGGCUUUGCGAAAUCGAAAGAUGAAGUAUAAGGCCUGACACCUGCCCGGUGCUGGAAGGUUAAGGGGGGAACUUAGUGCGCAAGUGCGAAGGUUUGAACUGAAGCCCCAGUAAACGGCGGCCGUAACUAUAACGGUCCUAAGGUAGCGAAAUUCCUUGUCGGGUAAGUUCCGACCUGCACGAAUGGUGUAACGAUCUGGAUACUGUCUCGGCCAUGAGCUCGGUGAAAUUGUAGUAGCGGUGAAGAUGCCGCUUACCCGCAACGGGACGGAAAGACCCCAUGAACCUUUACUAUAGCUUUGCAUUGACAAUGGGUAAAAGAUGUGUAGGAUAGGUGGGAGGCUAUGAAGCGGUGUCGCCAGGCAUUGUGGAGCCACUGUUGAAAUACCACCCUUCUUUUACUUGUUGCCUAACCCGCUGUAUGGCGGGGACAUUGCAUGGUGGGUAGUUUGACUGGGGUGGUCGCCUCCAAAAGAGUAACGGAGGCUUCCAAAGGUUCGCUCAGCACGCUUGGUAACCGUGCGCAGAGUGCAAUAGCAUAAGCGAGCUUGACUGUGAGACAGACAAGUCGAUCAGGGACGAAAGUCGGGUAUAGUGAUCCGGUGGUACUGAAUGGAAGGGCCAUCGCUCAAAGGAUAAAAGGUACUCUGGGGAUAACAGGCUGAUCUCCCCCAAGAGCUCACAUCGACGGGGAGGUUUGGCACCUCGAUGUCGGCUCGUCACAUCCUGGGGCUGAAGAAGGUCCCAAGGGUUGGGCUGUUCGCCCAUUAAAGUGGCACGCGAGCUGGGUUCAGAACGUCGUGAGACAGUUCGGUCCCUAUCUGUUGUGGGCGUAAGAAGCUUGAGAGGACCUGACCUUAGUACGAGAGGACCGGGUUGGACUGACCGCUGGUGUACCAGUUGUAUCGCCAGAUGCACUGCUGGGUAGCUACGUCGGGAUGAGAUAAGCGCUGAAAGCAUCUAAGUGCGAAACUCACCUCAAGAUGAGGCUUCUAUAAAGGGACGUUGUAGAUGACGACGUUGAUAGGCUGCAGGUGUAAAGGCAGAGAUGUCAAAGCUGAGCAGUACUAAUUACCCGAACGCUUUUUUAU
rnacentral:rRNA from 3 species